GUGAAAACGUCUUUACGUGAUGUGGUUGUUUCAUUACAUGAUGCAAAACUUUCCAUAUGUGCUGUGAAAAUAAAAACCCUUGUACAUGAUGCGAAUACUUUAGUGUAUGAUGUGAAUAUUGCAGUACGUGAUGAUAUAACUGCAUUACCUGAUGUGAACGUCACCUUAUAAUUAUACGUCAUGUAAAUUGUUAAAUGAGACCAUCCUCCCGGGACGUGUAGUUGCCAGUAUUGUGUCCCUAUUCGACCAUCUGGACACCUUAUGUCAGAUUAUGGCUGAACAACAGACAAUUAAUUAAAUGAGACUAUGUUUAGUCACAAAUGUACAAUAAUUGCGGACAAACGAGAGUUAACAAACUUUUUUAAAGGAAGUUCAAAAAUAGAGUAAUUUCAAGUGUAAAAUGAAAAAUAAAGUGUUCCCAGAG
rnacentral:lncRNA from 1 species